UACGUAGGGUGCGAGCGUUAAUCGGAAUUACUGGGCGUAAAGCGUGCGCAGGCGGUCUGUUAAGACCGAUGUGAAAUCCCCGGGCUUAACCUGGGAACUGCAUUGGUGACUGGCAGGCUUUGAGUGUGGCAGAGGGAGGUAGAAUUCCACGUGUAGCAGUGAAAUGCGUAGAGAUGUGGAGGAAUACCGAUGGCGAAGGCAGCCUCCUGGGCCAACACUGACGCUCAUGCACGAAAGCGUGGGGAGCAAACAGGAUUGA
rnacentral:rRNA from 1 species